UACGUAGGGUGCAAGCGUUGUCCGGAAUUAUUGGGCGUAAAGAGCUCGUAGGCGGUCUGUCGCGUCGAAUGUGAAAACCCGGGGCUCAACCCCGGGCCUGCAUUCGAUACGGGCAGACUAGAGUGUGGUAGGGGAGACUGGAAUUCCUGGUGUAGCGGUGGAAUGCGCAGAUAUCAGGAGGAACACCGAUGGCGAAGGCAGGUCUCUGGGCCAUUACUGACACUGAGAAGCGAAAGCAUGGGGAGCGAACAGG
rnacentral:rRNA from 1 species